GGGCCCAUAGCUCAGCUGGUAGAGCGCUUCCAUGGCAUGGAAGAGGUCAGGAGUUCGAAUCUCCUUGGGUCCACCA
rnacentral:tRNA from 1 species